UUAUAUAGGGACUAGACACAAG
rnacentral:miRNA from 1 species